CCCUUGUCCCUAUAGCUCCAUCCUUGGCGGCAGAACGUAAGCGGGAGAGACUUUUGUCCCAUGAUGUUUGUUUCAUGGGAGAGAGGCUGUGGUGAGAGAGAUUGCGGAGCAGCGACGAUUGACGCAAGUUUUCCUUUUGCCUUGCGGACUGUCGCUACUGUUCUGUGGUCUGUACUCCGGCGAGCCGUUUGCUUGCCGUAUGGCCGAGUUUCCAAGCGCUGCUAGAGCAUUGCGCCUCCCCCAAAUCUGCGCGCAGCUCAACCCUGCAACCUAGAAUCCGAAAGCUCAAGCCCAAACGCGUGCGCGCGCGCGCGACAGACCAGGCCCCGCCCCGCCGCUAUGCCACCGGCGGCGGCGGCCGCGGCUUCGAGUACUGCGAGCUGUGCCGCCGGAACCACGACCGGGGCCAGGGCCGGCGCCGCCGCUACUUCCCCGCCCACCCCGGCCGCCGCGCGCCCCCCUCCACGCCUUCCCGCAUCUGGUGCCCCACUUCGAUUGGUAGCUUGUACAUACUCCUCAAUGCCUUCCAGCAUCUGGUGCCCCACUUCGAUUGGUGCGCCUAGGAUUUUGAUGCAGGUCGCAGCAGUUUGGAUGGCCCGAUAGAACACUCCACCCAGCAAAUGCUGGUACAGCAGGAUCAUGGUGCCGUUCAAAGGCCGUUACUAGCCACUAGCCAGGCAUGACCAUGUUAUGCAGUGAACUUGGUUAACUGCAAAGAUUGUUCGGUGCAACUGGGCAAUGUACAUGGGUAACAGGGCAAGUCCAGACCAGAAAAUGAUGGAACUGUUCAAUAAAGCGAGUGGACUGGAGUAGAGGACUCCCAAGCAAAUUUCAUCUCUUCUGAGAUUAGACAGCCAGCAAUGUGUUUGGUUCUCCCAAUCUCUUUUUCCCAUAUUUCUGCUGUUAAAAGCAAGACAUGGAAUGUGGAGGCAGACCAUGAGGUAAGAUAGGUGUCACUCUCGUAAGUAUGCUACAUUCGCCUGCUCUUUUCUCCCAAUUUUCCUAUUUGUAUUUCCUAACCAUGGCAAAUAAUAAAUAGCUUGUCAUCGAUUUAGGCAUUUAGCGCAAGGUACAUUUGUUUGCAUUGGUUAAAUGGUCAUUUCAGAAUCCCUCACUUGAAAGUGAACUGAGGCUUUGUACAUAAGCACUCAGAGAUUAGGUAGAACAGGUAAGAGGUAAGUCAUUUGAAAUUAACUCAACAAGAUAUCCACUAACAGAAACUCCAGAUUUUGCAUAUAGUUUAUGAUGUUAGAGAUAGAGAGAAUGCAUUGAAGAUGUCCCUGAACGUUUGUGAUGUCGAUCCAAGUGGUGGUGAUCUGCAUCCGGUCGAUGUGCUGUGGGAAGAGGUAUGUGCAUGCUGCCUCGUGCCAUUUUACUACAUGCCAUCCAGCUUUUGUUCAUCUUCUUUCUAAGGUUACUAAAUUCAUAUAGGUAUGCAUAGGAAUUGGUUCAGGUGGUUUAUGUUAACUUAUUUAAGUUGGUUCAGGCUAAAUUAUUCAAAACAAUUGUGCACCGUUUCUCAACAUGGUGGUUGAGCUGCAGUUCGGUUGCAUAUGUGCAGUUUUAAGCGAACUUUGUCAUUCUACUGGAUUAGAUGGUAUAGGUGUUGAUGGACGUUAAUCUGCUAAGCUGGUUCUAGAGUGUGCUUGGCCUAGGUUAUUUAGACAGGUUCACCGUUUAUUCUGGGACAAAUCAGUGGACUGAACGGCAAAAACUCCAAAUUAUUUUUUUAGGUUUUAAAAAGAUUACCUUUUGAUGUAGUGGUCUGCAGAUGUUACAUUUGGAAGGUUAUUUUGCAUAAUUCCAUUCAGGGCUAGAGAUGUUGUGUUUGGGUGGACCCCACUGCAAGCUGAUGAUGUCUGCUGUCAAAGCGGCGGCAAGAGGUGGAAAGUGAAUAAAUAAAUAAAAUAGAGAGAGAAAGAUGUCCAAUUCUAAUCCUUUCAAUUGAUGUUUCUUUCUGUCAUUUUCUUCGUUCAUGCUUCCAGUGACCCACAGUUAAGAAGUUAUAGAAUUGAUAACAACUGAAGAUGUUUUUGUAGGAAACAAGAUGGUUAGCAGAAUCAUGCAAGGCACAAAAUGGUUGACUAAGCAUAAAGAAGAAUCAGACCAGAUUUGAUUAAUACACAAAUUCCACAUCUCUGCUUCGUAUUUAGAAGGGAAGUCUUCAUCACAAAUCUUGGUUAUGUCUGUUGUUGAUCUAAUAAAUGUGGCUACCCGCAUAUGAGUAUUUAUUUUCUUCUCUCUUUUUUUUGAAGGGAAGGAGACGACAAACUGGUUUCGCCAAGUUGCCCUCCUUGCUGGUCGCCAAGUUGACCAGAAGCUGCACAUGAAGAAACAACGAGGUGUGAUGCUCAAACUAGAUAUCUCGCGAUUGCUUCUCUUUCCUGGCCAUUCCUUUGAGGAUCAUCGCCACAAGGGUUCUAGUACCAUAUGGCUCCGAUGGAUCAGCCUGAUGCUUUUCCUCUGCUAGCACUAAUCAUGAUCAAUGGAGUUCCUGGAGAUCGUAUAAACUAUGUGCGAGGACUGCGACAAGGAGACCCCAUCUCCCUGAUGCUCGUCGUCAUUGCCAUGGAGGCCCUCACAGCGCUUAUAUCCAAAGCUGAAAGAUCUGAUGUCCUGAGCGCUUUGCCAGGUAUAUAAACCCCCUUCAGAGACUUCAGUCCAUGCGGAUGAUGUGGUUCUGGUUCUGUUUCUGAAAACCGAGUGCGACCUGCUGUGUGUGAGGCAACUUCUGAAUAUGUUUGGGGAAGCAUCAGGUCUGCGGAUCAACUGUACAAAAUCUUCGGCCAUUGUGACCAGAGGGGAUCACCGUGACCAUGAUGAGGAGAGGAUCGCUCCUAUCCUACAGCGUUCCAUUGGCGCUUUUCCCUGCAAGUAUUUGGGGCUUCAGUUAGCUAUUUUAUCUCUCACUGAAGCUGAAUGGCAGCCUACCCUGGAUUCCAUUAGGGCCUGUGCCCCAGCAUGGCAACGAGGCCUCAUAAACAGAGCCGGCAGACUGGUCCUUGUGGAUUCAGUCCCAUCUGCUCGACCAACUCAUCGUUUGCUGAUUUCUGAAGCUCCGAAGUCGGCAAUUCUUCAACUUGAAAGGUGGCUGUGUGCAAUCCAUCGUAUAAAUUUCGGAUGUCCAAGCCUCCAAAGCUUUUUAGGUUUGCAAUCGUUCUUCCAGGAAAUCGCGUUUGCUUCUCAUAUUUGUGUUUCUUUUGAACAACACUCAUUUCAACGUAUUUUGUCUUGAAAAUUUGUACACAUGUACAUUAUGCCUCCAUGUAUAUGUGUAUUUUUUUCAUAAUUUUUUGAAAUGUAGAAAUAGAGUUUUGAUGAAUUUUGAAAAUUGCAAAUGGAGGCC